rnacentral:lncRNA from 1 species
CUUCCACUUGCAGUGAUACAGUGGCGGUGUGGAGGACUCUAGGGAGAGGCCUCCCUGCGAUUCAAGUGCUCCAGUUACUCAUGCACAGGCUGGAGAGUGCAGAAGCCACCACCACCUGCGCUGAGCAUGCAGUGACGAACAAUGAGGCUGCCCUGGAACCUCUCACUGCUCUGGAACCUCUCGCGGUAACCUGUGCCAUCUUUGAGCUGGUGUCCGCCCUGCAGACCCGGGAAACUGCAUCACUCUUCCUUCCGUGGUUACUUCCGCUGCUGCUGAAGCAGAUCAGUGACACUCUGGGCAAGCAGAUGCCUUCGUCCUCCCCAGGAAGAGUCCCAGAGGAGCCGGUCUUUGUGGCGCGUGCAGAAGACAGCUGUCCUUGCAGGCUUUCCAUCAAAGCACUAGAUAUGGUGCUCUGCAAGUGCCUUGCAGAAGAGAAAUGGAUGGGGAUUCUGAGGAAGCAGAGAACCUGAGCUUUUCUUGAAAAUUCCCAGACUUCCCAUGACAGCAUGUGCCUGCUGACUAGGUAAG